rnacentral:rRNA from 1 species
GAUGAACGCUGGCGGCGUGCUUAACACAUGCAAGUCGACCGAAGCACCUUGAUUUGAUUCUUCGGAUGAAAAUCUUGGUGACUGAGUGGCGGACGGGUGAGUAACGCGUGGGUAACCUGCCUCAUACAGGGGGAUAACAGUUAGAAAUGACUGCUAAUACCGCAUAAGACCACAGCACCGCAUGGUGCAGGGGUAAAAACUCCGGUGGUAGGAGAUGGACCCGCGUCUGAUUAGGUAGUUGGUGGGGUAACGGCCUACCAAGCCGACGAUCAGUAGCCGACCUGGGAGGGUGACCGGCCACAUUGGGACUGAGACACGGCCCAAACUCCUACGGGAUGCAGCAGUGGGGAAUAUUGCACAAUGGGGGAAACCCUGAUGCAGCGACGCCGCGUGAGCGAUGAAGUAUUUCGGUAUGUAAAGCUCUAUCAGCAGGGAAGAAAAUGACGGUACCUGACUAAGAAGCACCGGCUAAAUACGUG